rnacentral:rRNA from 1 species
AUGCAGGAAGUACAAUUUGCAUGUAAUGUUUUACUUUUAGUUUCAGAUUAUCCCCUUUUCUGUGUGCAUUUACUAGAAGCUUAUAUGAAUCUGUGUCAUCUUUCAUUGAGUAAAAUGCCUGGUAUAGCAGAAUUAGAUCUCUCUGAGUAUACCAAAAAGAUGUCAUAUCUGCAACAGAUGGUUCAGGAGCUAGCCUCAAAGUAUGACUAUAAUCCGAACGAAGACUAUGCCGAGACAGAGCUGAAGUUGAGGGAACAUUGCAAUCGUUUAUCGGAACAGUAA